rnacentral:rRNA from 1 species
GAUGAACGCUAGCGGCAGGCUUAACACAUGCAAGUCGAGGGGUAGAGGAAGCUUGCUUCCUUGAGACCGGCGCACGGGUGCGUAACGCGUAUACAAUCUACCUUUUACAGAGGGAUAGCCCCAGAGAAAUUUGGAUUAAUACCUCAUAGUAUUUUCGGAUCGCAUGAUUUGAUUAUUAAAGUUCCAACGGUAAAGAUGAGUAUGCGUCCCAUUAGCUAGAUGGUAAGGUAACGGCUUACCAUGGCAAUGAUGGGUAGGGGUCCUGAGAGGGAGAUCCCCCACACUGGUACUGAGACACGGACCAGACUCCUACGGGAGGCAGCAGUGAGGAAUAUUGGACAAUGGGCGGCAAGCCUGAUCCAGCCAUGCCGCGUGCAGGAAGAAGCAUCUAUGGUGUGUAAACUGCUUUGUACGGGAAGAAACACUCCUACGUGUAGGAGCUUGACGUACCGUAAGAAUAAGGAUCGGCUAAACUCCGUGCCAGCAGCC